GACGAACGCUGGCGGCGUGCUUAACACAUGCAAGUCGAACGGAAAGGCCCUGCUUUUGUGGGGUGCUCGAGUGGCGAACGGGUGAGUAACACGUGAGUAACCUGCCCUUGACUUUGGGAUAACUUCAGGAAACUGGGGCUAAUACCGGAUAGGAGCUCCUGCUGCAUGGUGGGGGUUGGAAAGUUUCGGCGGUUGGGGAUGGACUCGCGGCUUAUCAGCUUGCUGGUGGGGUAGUGGCUUACCAAGGCUUUGACGGGUAGCCGGCCUGAGAGGGUGACCGGCCACAUUGGGACUGAGAUACGGCCCAGACUCCUACGGGAGGCAGCAGUGGGGAAUCUUGCACAAUGGGCGGAAGCCUGAUGCAGCAACGCCGCGUGCGGGAUGACGGCCUUCGGGUUGUAAACCGCUUUCGCCUGUGACGAAGCGUGAGUGACGGUAAUGGGUAAAGAAGCACCGGCUAACUACGUG
rnacentral:rRNA from 1 species